rnacentral:rRNA from 1 species
AACGGAUGAAGCUAGUGUUACUCAUCUUUAAUGGGCGUAAAGGGCGCGUAGGUAACCAAACUAAUUUACUAACAAAGGCUAAACUGUUCGAGUUUUAAACUGGUUUUGAUUGUUUGGGUAGGGUCUCUAUGAGGUUUUCGGUAUGGUUGAAGAAGAGUUAACAUUCUAUGAUAACAAUCAGACUACCCUUUGCAAAAGCGGUUUACUUAUACUGACUGACACUGAGGCGCGAAAGCAUGGGGAGCAAACAGG